rnacentral:rRNA from 1 species
UACGUAGGGUGCAAGCGUUAAUCGGAAUUACUGGGCGUAAAGCGUGCGCAGGCGGUUUUGUAAGUCAGAUGUGAAAUCCCCCGGGCUCAACCUGGGAAUUGCGAUGGAGACUGCAAGGCUAGAAUCUGGCAGAGGGGGGUAGAAUUCCACGUGUAGCAGUGAAAUGCGUAGAGAUGUGGAGGAACACCGAUGGCGAAGGCAGCCCCCUGGGUCAAGAUUGACGCUCAUGCACGAAAGCGUGGGGAGCAAACAGG